rnacentral:rRNA from 1 species
AUUGAACGCUGGCGGCAGGCCUAACACAUGCAAGUCGAGCGAGCGGCGGACGGGUGAGUAAUGUAUGGGGACUGCCCGAUAGAGGGGGAUAACUACUGGAAACGGUGGCUAAUACCGCAUACUAUCGGAUAACCCAUAUGGGAUUAGCUAGUAGGUGGGGUAAAGGCGCACCUAGGCGACGAUCUCUAGCUGGUCUGAGCGGAUGAUCAGACAACCGGGGAAUGUGACAAGGCCCAGACUCCUACGGAGGCAGCAGUGGGGAAUAUUGCACAAUGGGCGCAAGCCUGAUGCAGCCAUGCCGCGUGUAUGAAGAAGGCCUUAGGGUUGUAAAGUACUUUCAGCGGGGAGGCGUUACCCGCAGAAGAAGCACCGGCUAACUCCGGGCCAGCAGCCGCGGUAAUUA